rnacentral:rRNA from 1 species
AAUGGCAGGUCAGCAUACUGCCGUGAAUACGUUCCCGGGCCUUGUACACACCGCCCGUCACACCAUGAGAGUUGGAAAUACCCGAAGCCUGUGAGCUAACUUAAGGGAGGCAGCAGUCGAAGGUAGAGCCAAUGAUUGGGGUGAAGUCGUAACAAGGUAAC